rnacentral:rRNA from 1 species
UACGAAGGGGGCUAGCGUUGCUCGGAAUUACUGGGCGUAAAGCGCGCGUAGGCGGGUCGUUAAGUCGGGGGUGAAAUCCUGGAGCUCAACUCCAGGACUGCCUUCGAUACUGGCGAUCUUGAGUCCGGGAGAGGUGAGUGGAACUCCGAGUGUAGAGGUGAAAUUCGUAGAUAUUCGGAAGAACACCAGUGGCGAAGGCGACUUACUGGACAACUGUUGACGCUGAGGUGCGAAAGCGUGGGGAGCAAACAGG